GAAUUGUUAAGAUUGGACAGGACCUCUGGAGACCCCCCCUGCUGAAGUAGAAGCACCUAGAGCAGUUUACACAGGAAUGCAUCCAGGUGUUACGUGGGGUGCGGAAAAACAUGUUUGGCAGCAGCUCCUGGCUUGGAGAGUGUCAACGUGUCUGAAAGUGUCCAAAUCUGUCUGCAUAGCAGGGGGAGAAUGGAAGUGAAGUUUUCUCCUUCAACAGAACCCCGUUCUUUGGAAGUAUCAGAAGCAUCAGAACAAGGCCGUGUACUGCUCCAGCUUGUCACCUCUUACCUAAGGAUUACCUGAAGUAAGAUUUUCUGCACAUCUACAACAGGAUAGAAAUGAAGGUAGCUGACCCCACAGCAUUAUAAAAAGAGCAACACAAGAGACAUGAGGAAGCAAAACUUGCAAUAAGCAGAAUCCAUCAGAGGCUCUGUCUUUGCACUACCUCUCCUUAUUUGCAGGCUCCAUUAGCAGUGCAGCUCUAAAUGCUGUGAGAAUGGAAAUGCACAGCAGCUCUGACACUGAUCCCAUGCUCUGCUUUGCCACCAAAUCCCAGCCCUCCCUGUGCCCUAUACGUGCUUGUUCUCUCCCUCACUUGUCUUCUCCUGAUCCAAAGGGUGGCAGUGACAGGGGAUGUGGGGACAGUGGUGCCCUGUUUUCCCAGCUUCUUGACCACAGUGGUGGGACAGAGGAGCACGUUCAGCUCACAGCAGCACACCUUCUCUUACAUUCAAUGCUGGAGCAGUGUCCCUCAGUGCUGAUGGCUAGGGUCAUGGAGGGGGGUCACCCUCCAGGCUGAUGACAAGCUCCUUUGGCUCAUCAGGGGGAGAAUUUUGGAAGGAGAGGAAAGACAGCCAGCCUCAACUCUUUGUCUUCUACCCAGAUCAUUGUAUCAGACUAUUACGGUGCUGUCUGUUGCUGUGAACUAUUGGUUCAUAUUGCCCAAUCCUGACUGCAGAGGGUAGAAGUGUGUAGUGGGAGAUGUGCAUCCUCAGUCAGCACACACAAAUCUUACUGCAAAACUGCCCCCGCUGUGGCAAGGUCAAAGCCUUUUAGUGGACACAAAAUCUGAGUUAUUUUAUGGUGAAAGAACUUGCUAUGCACCCUUUCUUCCCUUGUAUUCCCUAAACUCUGGCAGAAUCAGAAGGGCUGACUAGGGACCAGCCUGGUGUGGGGAGAGGGUGAUGCAACACCACGUGUGUGGACAUGGGCCGACGUGCUUGAGAUGCUUCCUGAAGUGAUAAUUCAAAAGGACGUUAAUGCAAUAAACUGCAGCUUGUUACAAUGAACACAAUGUCACAGUGGACGACAUUCCUGAUCAUAGCUAAAAGUGCCUGGCUUGAAGGCUUUUCCUGUUGUUUUCCUUUCCUUGCAAAUGCCUGCAUCUCAUUUUCCAGUGCUGUGCUCCCCUAUGCUCACAAAAGUCUCUUGUGAAGGAGUGGGUGAAAGAACUUGACUGGAAAAUGGCCAGGAAUGGAAAGGAAAACUUUCUCUUCUUGUCUGACUUUCAAAAGGGAAAAAAAGGUAUUGGUACUCAGGAAUGAAGAGUCAUGCUGGUUUUGUUAUAUGCCUUGAAAGCAUGGGCAUAUAGCAAAAGGAAAUAAAAGGAAAACAGAAGAAUUUUUAAUAACCCUAAGAACAUUUCUUGCCUCUGACACUAGCCACUUGAUAACCCACACACUUUCCUGGUUCUGGUAGCAAAUUACUGUGUGAAAACUUUUCUUCCCCCACACAGUAUUUUUGUUUAGCUGUAAUAUGGAACUAUUUGACUCUUUAUCUUCAAGCACUGAAUCUCUAUUCUGUCCUGAAAGAAUGACCCUCAAGAUGGGGGUGGAUGAGAACAUAACUUAGACCAUCCUGGGGAGCUAGGAUGGAGUCUCAGCAGGUCUCUGAUGUGGUAUAAAUUUUGUGCUGAGUGCAAACUUAAAAUCAGUCUCUCCUUUGAACUAUGGACCUGAGCAUUGUCCUGGAAAAAAAAAUAUAUGCAGUCCUCUGCUCUGCCAGCUGAGCAAUGGAGAGUGUACUGAAAUAGCAUCAAGAGUGGCUUAUGUCAAGCAGACCAAGGCUAGGGAGAAACCUGACACUGGGACAGGGCUGUAUCCCUGUGAAGUGAUGAGCUGAUGCCAGCUGGGAAGCCUAAGCUGGGUCUGUGCUGUGAAACACAAGUCCCUCUCUACUGAACAUCACUCUUCUUUCCUACUGACAGACCUGGGGCUGCAGCAGUGGGGUUUGGAGUGCUAUGGCCUGUUAAGUCCAGAGAAGAACACAAAUCUUUCACCCAGUCAAAAUUCCUGUUGUUAAAACUAUGCAGUACCCUUUUCCUUAAAUUCUGGUUUGCUUAGGAGGUCCCCUUAGGAGGUUCCCCCUAGCACUGCCCCUGCUGUGCCACCUCUGUUCCUCCCCACUGCCACAGCACCAACUCCUGCACUCCAGCAUCAAACAUCCCAGUUAUUCCACAAAAUGCAGGUACCUGGGGAGGUUGCACCAUUCCUACCUUUCUGCUAGUAGAGAAGACUGAGCCAUGAUUUACAAACAGGCUUUUGUGGGAUGCUGUGAUAGGAAAGUAGGAGGGAAAGGGUCAGGGGUGCAUUUGAAAAGCAGAGGAUUGUGCUAAAAUAGAAAAGUACUUGCUUGUUUACUCUUCAGAAGGAAGUGGGAUUUUCCCACUUUUCUAACUGGUGUGCUCUUCCCUUUUUCUAACUGCUUUUGUUUUACUUAUAUCCUUUCUUCCUUCAUGUCUCAUUUUCACUGCAGGGUAUGUUUGGGGGUUAGCAAGCCUGUUCUUGUUAUCUGUGAAACUUGUCCCUAGUCCUGGAAAGGACCUAUUUUUAGGUAGACAGUAGUGCAGUGCUAGUAUUUCCCACAUGCAAUACUUCCUCCAGUCCUUUGGACAUACUUUUAAGUCUUGGCUGUGAAAUAUGGAUCUUUUUCUAGUAAUGUGUGGAGGGGAUGAGGGUUUGGGAAUCUCUUUGUAAAGUUGCAUGUGGUUUGGGGAGACGCUGAACUGUUCAUCUCAUGUUUGUUUUCCUACAUCUGGUCUUUUUAGGCUCACUGAUUUUGAGACUUUAGACAAUACUAAUAACUGCAAGGAACAUGAUAAAUGCCUCAUGUUAAUCACCUUGCAGGGUCACCUUGCCUGCCUGAAGGGUAUGGCCUGAGCACCAUUUCUUAUCCUGAUCUUGAGGACUCUGAGGAAACCAGGACAUUCUUUUGGGAAGGCUUUGUUUCCCUGUGUCCCCAAAAGCUGGAUGACAGGUUCAUGCGGGCUUGCUGGCACUGCUGGGGGGCAGAAGGAAGCCAAAGGAUCUCCCUUCUCCCAGGCAGACAGGUGGGGCAGUGACCUCAUAUCUUGGUGUCACAACGAUGGCAGAACCACAGCAUGCAGGAAUUAGUCCUUCAUGCAGUUUGUCCGCAGACUCUCACUGUUUCAGGGUCUUUUAAUCCAGAUCUCUGAGGUUUGUCUGCAAUAAUUUAUGUUGGUACCACUGAUUAAUUUGGAACAGAAGUUAUUAUCUAAUUCAUAUGCCUUUUUAUCCCAUGUUUCUCCUGGUUUGCUACAAACUGUGGAAAGUCCUUGAGCGUGGAUAAACCCAGAGAAGGCUGCUUUUGAGCACAGUCAGCUCAGGGCAGUGUCCAUUCUCUAUUAAAAAGAAAAGGGCAGACAUCCUCCCUCUGUCAGGUCUUUGUAGCUGGUUCCUGAAAUCUCAUGUCCCAUACAUCUGACGUGCUCCCAGUGACUCACCCUUGGAAAUGCUUUGAGUUUUCCUCUUCUGCUGUGAUUUCAUAUGUGCAAAAGAAACUUUCUAAAGAUGUCAUUAUCUCCUGUGCUGGUCUUUGUUUUCCUGGAGAUCCGAAACCAAUCCUCAGACUGUUUUUAGAAGGUCUCUAAAUACUGACCGCAUAUGGCCUGUCAUCACAUAUGAGGUACACAAAGACAAAGAUAUAUAUAUAUGUGUGUGUGUUGAGUGGAAAAAAUGUCAGUCUCAAAAGCCUAAUGUUUUUGAAAGCACUUGUCUCUGUUGCAAAGGCUCUCUUAGGCUGCAUAAAUUGAGUCACACACAAGGGUAGUCUCAGUAUUUAUCAUGGAGUGUUAUCAAUCACAAUAAAAUCAUGAAAUGCAAAA